rnacentral:rRNA from 1 species
UAAACGAUGUCUACUAGUUGUCGGGUCUUAAUUGACUUGGUAACGCAGCUAACGCGUGAAGUAGACCGCCUGGGGAGUACGGUCGCAAGAUUAAAACUCAAAGGAAUUGACGGGGACCCGCACAAGCGGUGGAUGAUGUGGAUUAAUUCGAUGCAACGCGAAAAACCUUACCUACCCUUGACAUGGCUGGAAUCCUUGAGAGAUCAGGGAGUGCUCGAAAGAGAACCAGUACACAGGUGCUGCAUGGCUGUCGUCAGCUCGUGUCGUGAGAUGUUGGGUUAAGUCCCGCAACGAGCGCAACCCUUGUCAUUAGUUGCUACGAAAGGGCACUCUAAUGAGACUGCCGGUGACAAACCGGAGGAAGGUGGGGAUGACGUCAAGUCCUCAUGGCCCUUAUGGGUAGGGCUUCACACGUCAUACAAUGGUACAUACAGAGCGCCGCCAACCCGCGAGGGGGAGCUAAUCGCAGAAAGUGUAUCGUAGUCCGGAUUGUAGUCUGCAACUCGACUGCAUGAAGUUGGAAUCGCUAGUAAUCGCGGAUCAGCAUGUCGCGGUGAAUACGUUCCCGGGUCUUGUACACACCGCCCGUCACACCAUGGGAGCGGGUUUUACCAGAAGUAGGUAGCUUAACCGCAAGGAGGGCGCUUACCACGGUAGGAUUCGUGACUGGGGUGAAGUCGUAACAAGGUAACC